UACAGAGGCCCCAAGCGUUACUGAGAAUCACUGGGUUUAAAGGGUGCGUAGGUGGCGCGUUAAGUCCGUUGUGAAAUCCCUGGGCUCAACCCAGGAAUUGCUUCGGAUACUGGCGUGCUUGAGGCUAGUAGGGGUCACUGGAACUGACGGUGGAGCGGUGAAAUGCGUAGAUAUCGCCAGGAACGCCGAUGGUGAAGACAGGUGACUGGGCUAGUUCUGACACUGAGGCACGAAAGCGUGGGGAGCGAACGGG
rnacentral:rRNA from 1 species